UCUCUACGAAAAAUAGAAAAAAUUAGCUGGGCGUGGUGGCGUGCACUUGUAGUUUGAGACAUCACCACACUCUAGCCAGGGCAACAGAGUGAGACUGUUUCAAAACUAGAUAGACAGACAGACAGACGGAGGAAUGAACAUUUGUGGCUCUCAACAGGUUCACUAAACCUAAAACUUUAAAUUCCCCUGUCAAGAAAGUUAGCAACAUUAGCCAGAUAUUCUUACUCAACCGGAGAUCAUUUUUUUUUAUUAAAAGGUAAGAAAUAAUGCAAUUAUAAACUCUUAUUUUCUAGGUUAUAAAGCAUAUAACCUCUCGUUUACACCCCCUCCCCCCCAAAAAAUUGUCAGGAACAACUCUAACCACAUGUGUGCAUGUAUCUAUGGGCAAAAACACAUAUUAUACAUUGAUAUCAUAAAUAAAACACUAGAUUCGAUCUUGGCCCAUAGAGUCUCAAGUUAUUAAUCCAACCAGAAGCUGGAUUUGUCACACAACACAAAAUCGGUCUUGCUGCCACACUAUGUGCUCAUUCAAUCUGUGCCUGACAAUGGCUACAGGCAACCCUGUAUAUACACUGUCCUUGAGGUGAGGUAUACUGCACUGAGGCCUCAGAUCAAUCUGCCUUGGCUCACUUCCUUGCGAAAGAGAUGACUGUCAUCCUAUGUCCAUUCUCUACUCCUUUGAGGAAUAGAACUCUCCCCCCACCCCCAGAGUCUUGGAUCCUCACUAGAUUCCACACUCCAAGCUUCUUCCAUUGUGAUGUAUCAUCGUGUGACUUAAGUUCUGGCAACUGGGAUGUGAUAGGAAGUGAUGCCUGCAACUUCCAGGUCAUGCCCACAAAAAGGAACUACUCGGCCUCCACUUUCUCUUUCCUGCAGGAGAAACAAAGAUGUUGGAGUGGUGAGCCCCCUGCAACAUGCAUGUAUCUCAGCAUCUCAUCUGGUCUACAAUAAAUGGAAUCUUCAAGGAGCAUAAUAAUAAACAGGCUUUGGCAGCCAUUAUAACUCCACCACUGACAAUGUGAAAGUUUUUCUACCUGUACCAUGAAUCCAAGUAGACUGAGAUGCCAAGAGCCAUAAACAAGAUGCUACAGCUGACUCAACCAGCAGACAGUCUACCUUAUGCUGGCCAACAACCCUGGCGUGGCCUAGCAGGAAGAGAAAAGCUAGCCUAAUCAUAUCUCUCUCUCUCUCUUCAAAAUUGGCCUUGAAAAAUACUGAAAAAAUGAUGCAGUUACAAGUAGAAAGUGAUACUGAGAGAAGACAAAAGGAAAAGCUAUUAAAUAACUUUGCGACCAUGAAGAAUCACAACAACCUAAAUUUACCAAGAAGCCAGAAGUAUGAGAAGUAAAGAAACUAUAUGGAAAAGAAAAGAUUAAUAUAAAGCAGAGAAUAACCACCCUGCUAAAAAACCCAAGAGAAGCAGCCCCAGAGAGAUACAGGUGUGUGAAGAAUGGCUAAGUGUAGUUACAGAGAAGUUUGUUUCUAAAUGAAAAAAUUAUCUGCCUCAGUUUCCUUUGACCUAGGUAUGGCAAUAUGACCAAAUUUUGGUCAAUGAAAUAUAGUGAAAAAGUCUUAGUAGUCUUCCAGGAGGGAAACACACUCUUCUUCCAACCUUUCUCCAUCCCACUAUCUGGAAUACAGAAGUGAUGGCAGGAGCUCUGGCAUCAAUUUUAGACCACGAGUUUAAAGUCUACACAGGGGGCAGAAGCAUCUUGGGGCCCUAACAACUUCUAGACUUAUUUGAGAAAAAAAUAAAACUAUCAAAGCCACUAUUUUCCAACUAAUUCCAGUCCUAACUGAUACAGUGGUUGAAAUAAUUAAAUGGGACAAUAGUAUCUCAUUUAACUUAAGCCAGUUAAAUGGAAGUGUUAUGUAUUCUACUUUACAGUAGUAUUAUUAUCCCUAAUUUAGAGAUGAAAAAACAGAUACCAGCUAGUAUAUGACAGAACCAUGAUUUGAACCUAGUCUUUUGGACUCAAGGGCCAAGCUCUUAAUCAUUAAGAACAAGAACCUGCAAAAAAAAA